ensembl:lncRNA
CUCGCACAAAGCCUUAUCCCUUGCCCCAACCAUUUCUUUCUUUCUUUCUUUUCUGUCCCCUAUCUCUUCCCUAGUGUUUCCAGAGAAUGAAAAGAAAUGCUCCCUUUCUUCUUUGCUCUCAGUUUCUUUUAUGAGGCAGAAAAAGAUAACUGGACAAAGUUUAAAAUCUAAAAUGUAUUAACAGUUAUGCUUUCUUGCUUUUUGUCUAGUUUUCUGUUUUGGCACUAGGCUUGUUUUGGCAUUUCAUACCAGUCCCAGUUGUUCCCUCCCUGCUAGGCUUGGCUCUCAGGAGUGGAACUGUACUUCUGAGGAGGUUUAAACAAGCAACAACAAAAAAAUAGGCACUAAACAAUUAGUAGGAGUCCAGCACUAACAUACUGGCUUUGCAAGGAUCCACCAGCAUGACUCAGCAGCCUGCAAGCCUGAGCUCCAGUUGCAAGUGGUUACUACUACCUUCUCCUGUUCCACUUGUAGAAAAAAAGAAAAAAAGAAGAUCCCAAUAAGUUUGAGGACUAGAGGAAGAUGGGACGAUAUUGAAUUUGAAUAAUAAACCAGUAAAUAACCUAAAAAAAAAAAAAAUUUAGAAGACAAGGAACUAUCAUAAAGUAUGUCUCAGGAGUUUCUGUAAUUCCCAGAGUUUGAGCCUGCAUAAAUAGGAAAUAAAAGAUGAUGAAGUCUUAGCUGCCUGUGAAAACCCACCCUUAUAGUAGGACCAAGCAAGGAUGGGUAUACUUUCCUGAUAAUAAGAACUGAUAAAUCAAUUAAGUGCAUUAGCGGGGUAUAUAAAACUUUUGAAUAAUGUUAUUCAUGAGGUAACUGCCUAGCCUCUGUGUGCAGGGCAUGCUUGUGACAAGAAGGAAUGAUCAAAGACAGCUCAGGAAGAAAGAAAGUCUUAAAGCUCAUGGAGAUUACUUCAGCCACCAUGCUAGUUUCAUUGUGACAGCUGCAGCCUGUGAUAGGAGAAUUAUUCCUGGUGUUUGCAGCCUGCUGUAGGAGAGGAGAAGCAGCCAAGGAACAUCAGUAUUCAACACAAAUUCUGGGUGAAAGUUGCUGCAAGCAUGAGAUUUAA